AGCCAGUGUGGUGCAGUAGUUUGAGUGUUAGACUAUGACUCUGGGGACCAGGGUUCAAUUCCCUACUUGGCUA